rnacentral:tRNA from 1 species
ACUAAUUUAGCAAAAAUAUAAUGUAUCAAUUUUAGAAUUUGAGGAU